ensembl:lncRNA
UGUGCGUAUGCAUACGACAGCAAUGAAUGAAUGAACCCUUUCUCUCUGUCUUCUCCCCUUGCGGUAGUAUCCUCAUUAAUUAUUGAUUUAAAUGGACGCCAGACAAGUUUGUCCGAUCCAUCCAACCUGAGAUGAGAGUAGAGUCCGGCUCAUAGCAUACAUUAUAAGUAUGUUCCACAAAGUGCAUGAAGAAUCGUUGCAGUCCAUCAGCACCUCAUUGAUACAUCAGCCGUAUCGUCUGACACCAUCAGUCUCAGGUCAAAGUCAUCGCUGUACUCAUGUCAUUCUCAGGUCUCAGUGACACCCUACACCCUCAUCGUUUCAUUUUGGAUCUGUACACCACCACAAUUAAUUUGAAACAAUCAAGAUGUGCUUUAAGUGCAGACGUUCCGCUUUAUUUAGACAGACAGAACAUUCCACUUCUUUGCUUUAAAAACUUUGGUUGCUUUUGCAGUGUGCUUUGGGACAUUCUCCAUCUGCGCUGUGAAGUGCCGUCCAAUGAGUUCUGAAGCAUUUGGCUGAAUAUGAGCAGAUAAUAUUGCCCGAAACACUUGAAUCCUUCCUUCUGCUUUUGUCAGCGGUCACAUCAUCAAUAAAUACAGGGGAACCAGUUCCAUUGGCAGCCAUACAUGCCCACACAAUAACACACUUCUUCCACAAUGCUUCACUCAUGGGGUGGUGUGCUUUGGAUUAUGAGCAGGUCCUUCCAUUCUCCAUACUAUUCUCUUCAUUCUGGUACAAGUUCAUCUCAGUCUCAUCGCUCCAUAGGAUGUUGUCUAUACAGGCUCUUUUAGAAGUUUUUUGGCAAACUCUAACCCGGUCUUCCUGUUUUUGAGGCUCACCAAUGGUUUAGAUCUUGUGCUGAACCCUUUGUAUUUACCCUGGUGAAGUCCUCUCUUGAUUGUUGACUUUGACCUCUGCUUCUUGAUCUGGCCAGCUCCUGUGAAGGGGUUUUCUCCACUGGGGAAAUCAUUCUUCUGCCAUUCACCAUUUUUUCCCCCGUGGUCUUCUGGGUCUUUUGGUGUUGCUGACCUCACCAGUGUGUUCUUUCUUUUUGAGAAUGUACUAAGUAGUUUGGGCCAACCUAAUGUUUUUGCUGUCUCAGAUGGGUUUGUUUCGAUGGCUUGCGCCACUGAUAGUGACAGCUCUUUGGACUUCUUAUUGAGAAUUGACAGCAACGGAUUCCAAACACAAAUACCACACUUGAAAUAAACUCUAAACCUUUUAUCGGCUCCUUGUAAAUGAAAUAAGAGGGAAUAACACACAGCUGGCUAUAGAACAGCUGAGCGGCCAAUUGUCCAAUUACUUUGGGGGGUAGAUUUAAAAUGUAAUACGAUUCCUACAGCAUUCACCUGAUUUGGAUGUAAACACCCUCAAGUUAAAGCUAAAAGUCAGUUUAGUUUAAAUUGUCAGAUCAAAAUUAUGAAAAUUGUGUCUGUCCAAAUAUUGAUGGACCUGACUAUACAGAAAACGUUACAUAAGGUCGCCUUCAAUAUGAAGCUGGAGCCAGGAGGUUUUUACUUUAUAUAUUUUUUAUUUUACUUUACUUUACUGGACGCAGGAGAAAAGCUACGCUGGCCCUGCCCAAAGGUUAAAAAGUGCAAAAAAACAAAUUGUGUUUUCACUUGAGGCCAUUGACUAUCUUUCAGUUGAAGAUCUUCCUUCAGGUUUUGCAAAAGCAAACUAGAUUUGUUUUAUCUUUUGGAGUCAGACAAGCAGUCUGCUUUGGUUCCCAGUCUUUAUGCUAAGCUAAGCUAUGCAUUUCCUGUCUGUAGCGUCAUGGUAUCAGAGUAGUAUCAAACUUCUCAUCUAGGUUAUGUUACAAAAGCAAAUACUCAUAAGCUGAUCUGUUGGCUUUGCCUACAAUAUUCAGGAUAUUAGCGGAUUUAGUGUUGUAUGUUUAACAAACAUGAAUGUUUCAUAUUUACAUCUCGUCACAAGAUGAAAUUAAGGCCGGAGUCAGAUCUCAGACUUGAUAAGCAUUCAACUUAGUGGUUUAAAGUCAACACAAAGACAUGAAGUACCUUCAUUAGCGAGUUGAGACCUCAUAGUUCGACUAUAGCUCUUUAUAGCUGGAUUUUAGUCUUUAUACACGUAUCAUGGGACUGCAUUACGACCGGGGUGGGAGACGCAGCAGCCCUGGUGUCCUGCCUCAGAGCUCAGACUAGGCCUGUGUGGAUCCGCUCACCUUGACACGUCCUGGUCCCUGGACUGGGCUGGUCAACAUUGUGCUGGGAUCUGGUUCAGCUGUUUAAACCAUUUUUGAAAGAAGAGACUAUCUGCCUGGAUGAAUUCCAGUCACCAUUCCAAUUUUAUUCGGCAGUAAAACCUCGCUCCUCUAUCAUUUUUUCUUUUUGGCCUCAACCUUUUCCCAGCCAUUCAGCAAACAGAAGACUUUUAUAGGGCUAACUUAUUCUUCCUACAUGCUGCAGUUGCACAGCCAAAUCAUAUUAGCCAAAUCCACUGCAGCAAUAUCAAUUUUGGGAUUGGGAGUGCUGUUAAGUGCAGAAUUCUGGGUAAAAAAUAAUAUCACAAUUACCUUGAGGGUUUUAUUGUGGACAUUGUGAAAUAAAAUCCAAUUGCUCCGGACUGAUGUCAUCGUGCUCAUAUGAGGAUUUCCAGAUAAAUCCAUGCUCAAAGACAUUGUAACUUUCUAGGAUUACCUUUAGUAAAGGUGAGUGACGUAAAUGAUACCUGACAUACAGACGACAAGGGGAAUACUCCCCAACACACAAUGAGCGCCACGUCCCUGCAGCUAUAGGGAAACACCAUGAAAAAGCAUAUCACGGCACAGAGAGAAAGGUUAGAGUUUUGCUUUUCUACAUUGGCCAUUGUGCCGUGUGUGGUGUACAUGUUUUGAAGUAGAUGUACUUCCAUGGAUAACAUCAUGAUUGCCCUGGCUGAGCAUCCGACUUCACAACAACAACCGCUGUGCUGCUACCAAACCACAGCAUAGCAUGCGAGGAGAUGAAAACUGAGACGACUAAAAAGACAGUGGUGUCUGCUUGUUAUUUGCCCAUAUUGAAACGCUAUCAGUGAAUUGUUUCAGCAUGAUUUUUUGUCAUCCACUGACCGUGUCCCACGACACACCCACUUUAUAUAGUUCGAUAGGUGACAGCCGGUAUAUCCGAGUUUGAUGUGAAUGAAACAUUUUCUCUCAAUUGAUGUGUAAUAUUCCAUUUGAGUCUGAUUCCGACAGACAAAGGCACCCUUUAGCGUUCAGCAAAAAGGUUACUAGAAGGUUCAUCUAGCGCAUCACUGUAUGAAGUUUCGGGCCAGUAACCCAGGGGUGCCACAAUUAGCUUUCUUCAUCGGGGGGGCUGGCUUCAGAGAAGGUGGAGGAGCUCAGACAUUUAGGACCUGUGAGUAGAGCCAGUCGUGAAGUCCUCGUGAUACACAGGUAUACUCUGUAUAUCCACUGGGAACAGUCAAGGAUUUCCGUAUACCCACUAACAAAAAUGCGAUGAUACGUAACAACAUCGUUGUGACAGAACGUUCAUUCAUAAAUUCACCCCGUCUGAAGGCAGUCCCGCCACGAAUGCGCCGUCUACCGUGGGAGAUGACCAAAGCUAUAGUACUCGCUUACUAACGGACGCAUUCUCCUAACUAAUCCCCC